rnacentral:lncRNA from 1 species
CCAACGCCGAUAGGGAGAAAAAAGUGUCUACUGGAUUUGUGAACAAGGAAACAUUGGUGGCCCUAAUAAGGGAGCUUCCACGGAGCUAGGGGACAAUAGUCAGGCUGGAGAGAGUUGAAGAGGUAUGGAUCGUGGAGGUGGGGAAAUGGAGGCAGCGUGUAGACAGCCAUUUUGGAGACCCUCUGUCGUGAAGGAGGGCAGAGAAUGAGAUGAAGAAAUGGGGCGGAGGGUGUGGUUUUUUCAGGUAGAAGGUGCUGGAAUCUGCAUGUCCAAGGAUGAUCCAGUGUACAGGCUGAAGGCUAUGAACAUAAGCCCUGCCCAAAUGGGGAGAACCACCUGCUGUCAAGAGUCAGCCAGCUGCAGUAUCAGCCCCUGAAGAGGACGAGCUAGCAGUGCUGAUGUCAGGGAACUUUCCACUCCUCAAACCGACAGGAACAGGACCGUGAGCACAAAACGUGAACACGGACCAGAACGAGUUGGCAUGCAGGACUAGGUUGCCUUGACGACUCUGAGUUCUGACAGGGAAAUACAAUGAGUUUUAUGUGGACAGAGUUCCACGGUCUAUUGCAAAAUCAAUGUGCUGUUUGAAUGAAUCAUCACUUCCAACCAUUGGUCAUUGGUGUCUGAAUCUUGAUUGCAGAUGAAGCACUGAGUCAUGACUGUAAAAUGCCACAGUAUUUAUGAAAACCAAGAAGGUUUUUUAUUUAUCCUGACUAGCUAAAUCAAGGUAGGUCAUCCUAAUAAUACUUGUCCACACAAGUGGCAACCCCUUGCCAAAGAAAUGCAAACAGAAGCCUGGGAUGUUUCCAGCUCUCCUUAACUUCCUUCCCCGACCUCCCUGACACCAGCCAAUGGGUCCUUUAAGAAGUGUGAGAGAGCCAGUAGAUGGUAGGCCCCCGCUUCAAACUCGCCAUCUUGUCCCUUGAUCCAGUGACUAUACCUGGAAUUUGGCCUCUAAGCGAGUGUUUCUUUUUGCACUUGGACUUCUUGAGAGAUUACUCAUUACUCAGGAGAUAACACCAAAGCAUUCUCAAAACCAAUCUUUGGAACUGGCUUCCAGGAUUAUACAUGCAGGAUUAGUCAUACAGAAAAUCCUUAAAGAUAGCAAAUUUGGGUCCUUUGAGAGUGUAUUUGGUUUGUGAAAACAAAGCCAUUGGUAACCAAGCCAAAAGCAAACAUGUGAUUCUAACCCAUGAAUUCAGAAUUUUUCAGGCAGCUGACCCUAAAGACACUUUUUUCAAACAGGUGACUCCUUUUCAUUAAUUCAUUAAUCAGUUGUUGAGAUAGUGAAAGAAAAAAGAAACUGAAAGAAAUCAUCAUUACCAGAAAUACUUGGGUUCAAAUUCUAGCUCUAAAACUUCUUAGCUGUGUAACUUUG